rnacentral:rRNA from 1 species
GUGAGGAAUUUUCCGCAAUGGGCGAAAGCCUGACGGAGCAAUGCCGCGUGAAGGAUGAAGGCCUAUGGGUUGUAAACUUCUUUUCUCAGAAAAGAAUUAUGACGGUAUCUGAGGAAUAAGCAUCGGCUAACUCUGUGCCAGCAGCCGCGGUAAGACAGAGGAUGCAAGCGUUAUCCGGAAUGAUUGGGCGUAAAGCGUCUGUAGGUUGUUUAAAAAGUAUUCUGUCAAAGAUUAGGGCUUAACCCUAGAUAGGCAGAAUAAACUUUUAAGCUAGAGUUUGGUAGAGGCAGAGGGAAUUCCCGGUGGAGCUGUGAAAUGCGUAGAUAUCGGGAGGAACACCAAAGGCGAAGGCACUCUGCUGGGCCAAUACUAACACUGAGAGACGAAAGCGAGGGGAGCAAAUGGGAUUAGAAACCCGGGUAGUCC